rnacentral:rRNA from 1 species
UACGUAGGGUGCAAGCGUUAUCCGGAAUUAUUGGGCGUAAAGAGCUCGUAGGCGGUUUGUCGCGUCUGCUGUGAAAACUGGAGGCUCAACCUCCAGCCUGCAGUGGGUACGGGCAAACUAGAGUGCGGUAGGGGAGAUUGGAAUUCCUGGUGUAGCGGUGGAAUGCGCAGAUAUCAGGAGGAACACCGGUGGCGAAGGCGGAUCUCUGGGCCUGAUCUGACGCUGAGGCGCGAAAGCUAGGGGAGCGAACAGG